rnacentral:rRNA from 1 species
CCAGCAGCCGCGGUAAUUCCAGCUCCAAUAGCGUAUAUUAAAGUUGUUGCAGUUAAAAAGCUCGUAGUUGAAACUUGGGCCUGGCUGGCAGGUCCGCCUCACCGCGUGUACUUGUCCGGCCGGGCCUUCCUUCUGGAGAACCUCAUGCCCUUCACUGGGCGUGUUGGGGACCAGGACUUUUACUUUGAAAAAAUUAGAGUGUUCAAAGCAGGCCUUUGCUCGAAUACGUUAGCAUGGAAUAAUAGAAUAGGACGUGCGGUCCUAUUUUGUUGGUUUCUAGGACCGCCGUAAUGAUUAAUAGGGACAGUCGGGGGCAUCAGUAUUCAAUUGUCAGAGGUGAAAUUCUUGGAUUUAUUGAAGACUAACUACUGCGAAAGCAUUUGCCAAGGAUGUUUUCAUUAAUCAGUGAACGAAAGUUAGGGGAUCGAAGACGAUCAGAUACCGUCGUAGUCUUAACCGUAAACUAUGCCGACUAGGGAUUGGGCGGUGUUCUUUUUCUGACCCGCUCAGCACCUUACGAGAAAUCAAAG